GGGCUAUUAGCUCAAUUGGUAGAGCACUCGGCUCUUAACCGAUUGGUUUUAGGUUCGAGUCCUACAUAGCCCA
rnacentral:tRNA from 1 species